AUACGGAGGGUGCAAGCGUUGUCCGGAUUUAUUGGGUUUAAAGGGUGCGUAGGUGGCGUGUUAAGUCAGUGGUGAAAGCCUGCAGCUCAACUGUAGAGGUGCCAUUGAUACUGACAUGCUUGAGUAUGGACGAGGUAGGCGGAAUUUGUGGUGUAGCGGUGAAAUGCAUAGAUACCACAAAGAACACCGAUAGCGAAGGCAGCUUACUGGACCAUAACUGACACUGAGGCACGAAAGCGUGGGGAGCGAACAGGAUUAGAAACCCCGGUAGUCC
rnacentral:rRNA from 1 species